UACGUAGGGUGCGAGCGUUGUCCGGAAUUAUUGGGCGUAAAGAGCUCGUAGGCGGUUUGUCGCGUCGACUGUGAAAACCUACAGCUUAACUGUGGGCUUGCAGUCGAUACGGGCAGACUUGAGUUCGGUAGGGGAGACUGGAAUUCCUGGUGUAGCGGUGAAAUGCGCAGAUAUCAGGAGGAACACCGGUGGCGAAGGCGGGUCUCUGGGCCGAUACUGACGCUGAGGAGCGAAAGCAUGGGGAGCGAACAGG
rnacentral:rRNA from 1 species